GACGAACGCUGGCGGCGUGCUUAACACAUGCAAGUCGUACGGUAAGGCCCUUUCGGGGGUACACGAGUGGCGAACGGGUGAGUAACACGUGAGUAACCUGCCCACAACUUUGGGAUAACGCUAGGAAACUGGUGCUAAUACUGGAUAUGUGCUCCUGCUGCAUGGUGGGGGUUGGAAAGCUCCGGGGGUUGUGGAUGGACUCGCGGGCUAUCUGCUUGUUGGUGGGGUAGUGGCCUACCAAGGCGGCGACGGGUAGCCGGCCUGAGAGGGUGACCGGCCACAUUGGGGCUGAGAUACGGCCCAGACUCCUACGGGAGGCAGCAGUGGGGAAUAUUGCACAAUGGGCGCAAGCCUGAUGCAGCAACGCCGCGGGCGGGAUGACGGCCUUCGGGUUGGAAACCGCUUUCAGCAGGGACGAAGCUUUUUGUGACGGUACCUGCAGAAGAAGCACCGGCUAACUACGUG
rnacentral:rRNA from 1 species